UCUUGCCUCUGUAACACCAGCUUUUCCUCUUCGGUAGCCUGAAAAUUGGGUUGGAAUUACAGAGAGAGCCCAGGGCAGAUUAGCUGAUGUAGAAGCCAGAAUAGGGGUAAGUAACUAAAGAUCUGAUGUUCAAGAGUUCUUGUCGGUUGUAAGAAAUAAUAGAUGAUAAGUGUAAGUAGACUAAAAAUAAACACAAGAUUUUUCACAAAAUAAGCGAAGUUGGGCCAGAGCUUGCAAAACGGUGGCCAUUCAAUACGGCGCCAUGCUGAAAUAGGCUGGAAAGGAGCCAGAGGUCAGGAAGCUAUUUACAAUAAACAGAAUGUUGGGGCCAACAGUAGGCAUAACCUCUUUUAGUAGUCUAGUAGGGCUCACGUACAUGGAGUUGCCGUACGUGCUUCCUGACCAGAAAUGUUGGUAUGGUGUCAGCUACUGUCAAUCGGAGUUCUAAUAUUUUCUAUCUUUCCUGUAAAGAAUCGUUAAAAAAAUUGCAGAGAUCAGGUAAUGCGAGCAUGUCACUGUUAAGGCAGCCGCAUGCUUCCCACCCGGAACAGUUCGGUACAGUUUGUGCAUAUUAUUAACGUUUUGUAUUAUGGUUUGGGUUUUGUCGGCUAUUUGGGCGCAUUUUUUUUCUCUAAGCCUCUGUCUGUGAUUGGUCAACUGCAGGGGUGCUUCUUGUCGAUUCAGCCCGAAACUCCGUGUGGAUUCAGCAUGGUGAAUGACAACGUCAUGCAUCGAUUGACUGAUAUGAUUCUAGCCAUGCAUUAUAUAAACACUACCAUGUAAAUGCCAAUUCAUGGAGGGAGAUUGCGGAGACGCUGGAGUCCGACCUGACCACUUGUUAAAAAAAAAAGUGUUCGCAACCAGUUCAAGGCAAAGAAAAGAAACAAGGGCCGCAGUGGAGAUGCUGGUGGAAAGGCUUCUCCAGGAAUGUUGCUGGCUUUUACGGCAGGUGAAGCAACAUGUCAUCUUCACCAAAGGAUGGGGAACAAACACCAGUGAAUGCAGACGGCACCUGGUUUUGUUCUCUGCACCCCAGCACUUCCUGUUCACCGGCCCCAAGCACGACCGCUGUCCCCAGUACUAACUCUUGACCGGCCCCCAGCCCAUCUCCCGCACUGAGUUGCAGUGCAGAAUUAGGAACAAUCUCCAUGCAGGACUUGAGCAACUCUAUCCUGGGCCCACCGGAGAACUACUCCACUGGCUUGCUCCUCACCGACGCCACAGAGCAGCAGCAGUAGUAGCAGGGGUGUGAGAAGAAUGGAGAAAAGGGCUGCAGACUCCGUCUGGACAUCAAGAUCUGGACAACAUCAUGCACCAAGCCACCAGCUUGUCCCAGAGGGUCCUGGCACCUAUGGAUGAACUCUCGCCAAAACUCUGGGAGGAAUUAGAUCACCAGCUGCAUGAGUUUGCGCAUGACGAAUAUGUACCACGACGACUGGGACCAUAGUGAAAUUAACAACUUGUUCUGUUCAGAUAUCUCUGAAGUCAGACACUAGACACUUUAAUUUUAUUUAUCGUACUUUUGUUGUUUACAUGUCUGUUUUACUAUUGUUCUGAAAUAUUUAUAUAAUAUUUAUAUCUACUCUUGUCACUAUAUUUCACCCUUUUGUUGUUUACAUGUCUGUUCAUAGCAGACACUUUAGUAUUGUGGUAUAUUUUCAGAAACAAGAAUAAAGGUUUAUUUGUGUCCUGAAAAA